rnacentral:rRNA from 1 species
UACGUAGGGUGCGAGCGUUAAUCGGAAUUACUGGGCGUAAAGCGUGCGCAGGCGGUUCGUUAAGUCAGAUGUGAAAGCCCCGGGCUCAACCUGGGAACUGCAUUUGAAACUGGCGGGCUUGAGUGCGGCAGAGGGGGUGGAAUUCCGCGUGUAGCAGUGAAAUGCGUAGAGAUGCGGAGGAACACCAGUGGCGAAAGCGGCUUCCUGGUCCAGCACCGACGUUCAGGCACGAAAGCGUGGGGAGGCAAACAGG